UACGGGGGGGGGCAAGCGUUGUUCGGACUUACUGGGCGUAAAGGGCUCGUAGGCGGCCAACUAAGUCAGACGUGAAAUCCCUCGGCUUAACCGGGGAACUGCGUCUGAUACUGGAUGGCUUGAGUUCGGGAGAGGGAUGCGGAAUUCCAGGUGUAGCGGUGAAAUGCGUAGAUAUCUGGAGGAACACCGGUGGCGAAGGCGGCAUCCUGGACCGACACUGACGCUGAGGAGCGAAAGCGUGGGGAGCGAACAGG
rnacentral:rRNA from 1 species